rnacentral:rRNA from 1 species
AAAUUGAAGAGUUUGAUCAUGGCUCAGAUUGAACGCUGGCGGCAGGCCUAACACAUGCAAGUCGAACGGUAACAGGAAGCAGCUUGCUGCUUCGCUGACGAGUGGCGGACGGGUGAGUAAUGUCUGGGAAACUGCCUGAUGGAGGGGGAUAACUACUGGAAACGGUGGCUAAUACCGCAUAACGUCGCAAGACCAAAGAGGGGGACCUUCGGGCCUCUUGCCAUCAGAUGUGCCCAGAUGGGAUUAGCUUGUUGGUGGGGUAACGGCUCACCAAGGCGACGAUCCCUAGCUGGUCUGAGAGGAUGACCAGCCACACUGGAACUGAGACACGGUCCAGACUCCUACGGGAGGCAGCAGUGGGGAAUAUUGCACAAUGGGCGCAAGCCUGAUGCAGCCAUGCCGCGUGUAUGAAGAAGGCCUUCGGGUUGUAAAGUACUUUCAGCGGGGAGGAAGGUGUUGUGGUUAAUAACCGCAGCAAUUGACGUUACCCGCAGAAGAAGCACCGGCUAACUCCGUGCCAGCAGCCGCGGUAAUACGGAGGGUGCAAGCGUUAAUCGGAAUUACUGGGCGUAAAGCGCACGCAGGCGGUCUGUCAAGUCGGAUGUGAAAUCCCCGGGCUCAACCUGGGAACUGCAUUCGAAACUGGCAGGCUUGAGUCUUGUAGAGGGGGGUAGAAUUCCAGGUGUAGCGGUGAAAUGCGUAGAGAUCUGGAGGAAUACCGGUGGCGAAGGCGGCCCCCUGGACAAAGACUGACGCUCAGGUGCGAAAGCGUGGGGAGCAAACAGGAUUAGAUACCCUGGUAGUCCACGCCGUAAACGAUGUCUACUUGGAGGCUGUGCCCUUGAGGCGUGGCUUCCGGAGCUAACGCGUUAAGUAGACCGCCUGGGGAGUACGGCCGCAAGGUUAAAACUCAAAUGAAUUGACGGGGGCCCGCACAAGCGGUGGAGCAUGUGGUUUAAUUCGAUGCAACGCGAAGAACCUUACCUGGUCUUGACAUCCACGGAAGGUCUCAGAGAUGAGACUGUGCCUUCGGGAACCGUGAGACAGGUGCUGCAUGGCUGUCGUCAGCUCGUGUUGUGAAAUGUUGGGUUAAGUCCCGCAACGAGCGCAACCCUUAUCCUUUGUUGCCAGCGGUUAGGCCGGGAACUCAAAGGAGACUGCCAGUGAUAAACUGGAGGAAGGUGGGGAUGACGUCAAGUCAUCAUGGCCCUUACGACCAGGGCUACACACGUGCUACAAUGGCGCAUACAAAGAGAAGCGACCUCGCGAGAGCAAGCGGACCUCAUAAAGUGCGUCGUAGUCCGGAUUGGAGUCUGCAACUCGACUCCAUGAAGUCGGAAUCGCUAGUAAUCGUGGAUCAGAAUGCCACGGUGAAUACGUUCCCGGGCCUUGUACACACCGCCCGUCACACCAUGGGAGUGGGUUGCAAAAGAAGUAGGUAGCUUAACCUUCGGGAGGGCGCUUACCACUUUGUGAUUCAUGACUGGGGUGAAGUCGUAACAAGGUAACCGUAGGGGAACCUGCGGUUGGAUCACCUCCUUACCAGAAAGAA